rnacentral:rRNA from 1 species
AUGCCUCCCCCGCUGCUCGUCUUCGUCCUGUUCGUCCUGCUUGCCGCGCCGUGGCCGUCCGAGGCGGGGGCGAGGCCGCAGCUUUUCGCGCUGCGGGCGCGCCAGAUGCCGGCCAGGGCGCUGCCGCGGCAGCCCAGCAAGCUGCGGUUCCACCACAACGUCAGCCUCACCGUCUCGCUCGCCGUCGGCACGCCGCCGCAGAACGUCACCAUGGUGCUCGACACCGGCAGCGAGCUGUCCUGGCUGCUCUGCGCGCCGGCGGGCGGCGCCAGGAACAAGUACAGCGCGACGUCCUUUCGGCCGAGGGCCUCGGCCACCUUCGCCGCCGUGCCCUGCGCCUCCGCGCAGUGCCGCUCCCGCGACCUGCCGUCUCCGCCGGCCUGCGACGGCGCGUCGAGCCGGUGCAGCGUGUCGCUCUCCUACGCGGACGGGUCCUCCUCCGACGGCGCGCUCGCGACGGACGUCUUCGCCGUCGGGGGCGGGCCGCCGCUGCGCGCGGCGUUCGGCUGCAUGGCCUCCGCGUUCGACUCCUCCCCGGACGGGGUGGCGAGCGCCGGGCUGCUGGGCAUGAACAGGGGCGCCCUCUCCUUCGUCUCGCAGGCCAGCACCCGGCGCUUCUCCUACUGCAUCUCCGACCGCGACGACGCCGGCGUGCUGCUCCUGGGCCACAGCGACCUGCCCACCUUCCUGCCGCUCAACUACACGCCCCUGUACCAGCCGGCCCUGCCGCUCCCCUACUUCGACCGCGUCGCCUACUCCGUCCAGCUCCUGGGCAUCCGCGUCGGCGCCAAGCACCUGCCCAUCCCGGCGUCGGUGCUCGCGCCAGACCACACCGGAGCCGGGCAGACCAUGGUGGACUCCGGCACGCAGUUCACCUUCCUGCUCGGCGACGCCUACUCGGCACUGAAAGCCGAGUUCACGCGACAGGCCAGGCCCCUCCUGCCCGCGCUCGACGACCCCAGCUUCGCGUUCCAGGAGGCGUUCGACACGUGCUUCCGCGUGCCCCAGGGGCGGACCCCGCCGGCGGCGAGGCUCCCGAGCGUGACGCUGCUGUUCAACGGCGCGGAGAUGGCGGUGGCCGGGGACAGGCUGCUGUACAAGGUCCCCGGGGAGCGGCGCGGCGGCGACGGCGUGUGGUGCCUGACGUUCGGCAACGCGGACAUGGUGCCCAUCAUGGCGUACGUGAUCGGGCACCACCACCAGAUGAACGUGUGGGUGGAGUACGACCUGGAGCGCGGCCGCGUCGGCCUGGCGCCCGUCCGCUGCGACGUGGCCAGCGAGCGCCUCGGCCUCCUGCUCUGA